rnacentral:rRNA from 1 species
GACGAACGCUGGCGGCGUGCUUAACACAUGCAAGUCGAACGGAAAGGCCCUGCUUUUGUUGGGUGCUCGAGUGGCGAACGGGUGAGUAACACGUGAGUAACCUGCCCUUGACUUUGGGAUAACUUCAGGAAACUGGGGCUAAUACCGGAUAGGAGCUCCUGCUGCAUGGUGGGGGUUGGAAAGUUUCGGCGGUUGGGGAUGGACUCGCGGCUUAUCAGCUUGUUGGUGGGGGAGUGGCUUACCAAGGCUUUGACGGGUAGCCGGCCUGAGAGGGUGACCGGCCACAUUGGGACUGAGAUACGGCGCAGACUCCUACGGGAGGCAGCAGUGGGGAAUAUUGCACAAUGGGCGGAAGCCUGAUGCAGCAACGCCGCGUGCGGGAUGACGGCCUUCGGGUUGUAAACCGCUUUCGCCUGUGACGAAGCGUGAGUGACGGUAAUGGGUAAAGAAGCACCGGCUAACUACGUG